rnacentral:lncRNA from 1 species
CUCUGAAUUCUUAUUCCACAAAUAAAACAAUCAUCGUAUAUCGACAUUAAGAAAUGAAAAAAUGCCUUUUAUUUUGGACAAGAUUAGGAAAUUCAAUUAAGAAAGCUUCACCUACACGACAUGCAUGGUGCUGACCUCUGAUGAUGGAUUUUGUCCCGGGAAACAUCGAAGUUCCAGAUGCUUUCAAGUGUGUGGCACACGAUCAGAUGAAGUGCACAAGUCAGUGCCCUGGGACAGGACAAAGACAGGGGCCGAGGAAAGCAACCAGAGAGCCUCAGCCAGGCUGGGACAAGGGCUGGCUGUCCCAGACAGGGCCAGCAUCCACUGCACCCAGCUUCACUUCGCCCGACUUCCCCCUAACACAGCA